rnacentral:rRNA from 1 species
GAGUUUGAUCAUAGCUCAGAUUGAACGCUGGCGGCAUGCCUAACACGUGCAAGUCGAACGGCAGCAUGAGUGAGGGUAACCUUACUUGAUGGCGAGUGGCGGACGGGUGAGUAAUGUGUAGGAAUCUACCUAGAGGUGUGGGAUAACUUGAGGAAACUUAGGCUAAUACCGCAUAAGCCCUACGGGGGAAAGCAGGGGCUCGAAAGACCUUGCGCCUUAUGAUGAGCCUACAUCGGAUUAGCUUGUUGGUGGGUAAAGGCCUACCAAGGCGAUGAUCCGUAGCUGGUCUGAGAGGAUGACCAGCCACACUGGGACUGAGACACGGCCCAGACUCCUACGGGAGGCAGCAGUGGGGAAUAUUGGACAAUGGGGGGCAACCCUGAUCCAGCAAUGCCGCGUGUGUGAAGAAGGCCUUAGGGUUGUAAAGCACUUUCAGUGGGGAGGAAGGGAUAAGUAUUAAUACCACUUAUCAUU